GUUUUUAUCAGAUGAUGAUUCUCUUGCAAGACUGGGUAAGUAUAUCCGAAUUGUAUCAGAUUUGAGUGUUGGAUUCAGAACGUUGUUAGUAGCUUCUUGUUUUCUGAAUUCUCCAAAUCAUUUCACAUCCAGUUUAUUUUAUUCAAGAAGUAGUGCAUAAUUGGGAUGAUUGGUCUUUGUAUACCUAUUAUUUUCAGCAGUGAAGAGCUUUUUUCCAAUUUUUCCUUCAUUUCGAUGGAUUGCAUAUUAUCAAUUUCAUCUAUUACUGAAUAAUUAUGUAGGUAGUUCUGUUCAAAGUCUUUGAUUUUAGUACCUGAAUUUAAUUUAAUGUUCUCAGCUUAGUUAAUUUGCCUUUUGGCAUAUUUGUGCAAUACGAUUAUCAUUUCUAUGUCUUGGCUGAAUUCAUAAACAAGCUUCUUAUUAUCUUUUUUAAAUAUUAUAAAGCCCAUUUAUGUAGAGAUAUUUUUUUAUUUGUCCCGUUGCAGUUAUAACCAUUCGUACAUUCAUUCAGUAGAAUUUAGAAUAGAGUGAGAGCUAGGUAGACUAGUACAGAGGAAAUGAGUCAUCUAUGCAUCUAUGAAUAACCUCCACUCAUUUGGUUCAUAGGUCAGCUCAAGGGCACUGAAUUGGUCUCCGAUAUCAUUACAAUAAGUCAAGUUGUUUACCAAAGUGAAGAAUUACUGUAGAUCUGCAGAACGCUUCCUAAAUAUUGUAAUUCGAGCAUCUUUAUCCAACAGGUUCCAUUGUGGCAGACGUGAGGCCAGGACCUCCUUCUGUUGCUUAGUAAGUGCUAGAUCACGAACUAGAUCAUUGAGUUCAAGCUGGGUGAAGAGGGGCGGUUUCUUGUCAGAUUUACCACGGGUUUGGGCACAUAUAACUAUAUAAAUAUUGAGUGUGCUUUUAUAAUGUUCAUAGGUUAGGUUGAAAAAUACUUUAGGAACACGCCAUUAAAAUUAUAUCAAGAUCCGUUCAUAACUUUCAGAGUUGUCAGUUUCGGUCCAAUCCUGUCUGCAUUCAAUUCCUACGGAACCAUCACUGUAUUUAACGUAAGAAAGAUGGUAAUUUACGAGAAACUGGAGGGUCAAAAAAACAAAACAGUUAUUAUAUUAGUGAUUUACACAUAAAAUACCCUUAGAGAAGGUUAUCUCAUUUCCGUUUUUUUUUUCCAUUAUUUUAGUGUUAUUAUAUGAAAGUGGUCAUCUGGCAGAACCGUUAGCACACCAGACAAAAUGAUUAGCAGAUUUCACCUGUCUUUAUGUUCUGAGUUCCGCCGACGUCGACUUUGCCUUUCAUCCUUUCGGGGUCGAUAAAUUAAGUACCAGUGAAACACUGGAGUCAAUGUAAUCGACUAUUCCCCUCCCGCCAAAGUUUCAGCUUAUUAUUAUUAUUAUUAUUAUUAUUAUUAUUAUUUGUUGUUGUUGUUGUUGUUGUUGUUGUUCUAUGUUUACUCACAGAAGGGUUUUGGAUUGUUUGAGAGUGUCCCAGAUUGCCUAGAAGAGAACAGUUAGUCUUUGCACAAUCUUAACUGUGUACAUAUUUUGGGAAAAUUACCAUUUGCAAUGUUUAUAUGUAUUAUAAGAUAGACGCCGCAGAGAUAACCAUAAGAGAUGCUCAUCAUAGUGGAGGCAGCAGUAGUAACCCUAACGUAAGCAAACAAAUCCCUCAAAUUAUUUUCCAACGAAAAGACAGAUAAUGGAAAACUUCAAACCAACAGACAGAUCUUCAGCUUAAAUACAGUUGUACACUUACAUGGAAGAUAGAUAGAACAGUAUUGGAAAGAUAUAGGAAUGGAAAAUAAAUGUUGCAAACAGCAAUACAACAACCCCGUUAUCAUUUCCAGCAAAGACUACAACAUUCCAUCUUUUGCAAAUCUUAUGAUUCGAUGAGUGUGACGUGGUUUGAGGCAGCUCAAGGAAAAAUAGAAGAAAUUGACGAUGAGCGGUAACAACAACGGUUUUACCUAUACCAGCAGUUACAACAGUAACCACAACAGAGAUAGUAGCAGCAACUAUGACAACGACAGCAGCAGGCACAGCAACAAGUAUAACGAUGACGACGUCGACGACGAAGUAAGCGGUAGAGCGACUCUAGGAGACGGCAAUCUUUUGCUGGAGUGACGGCGAAUCCAACACAAUACUUCUCGCUCUCCCUGAUUGACAAGGAGUCACAGCUGAGCCAGGCGAAACAGUUUAUGAAAGUGAAUAAAAAAAGAGCACAAGUUACCAUUCUAGCCGUGGUUGUGGCUGCAACUGCCCGAAAGUCAGUGGUGUAUUGAUGUGUGUCAGGUAAAGCCUGACGCCUAGAACCAGCUAUACAUACAGAGUUGAAAAGAAUUCUCAAAGGAAUAUGCUACGACAUAGAUCAGGUGACCAGAGCAAAGCAUUUCAAGAACGGGAGGUCUUCUUCAAGAGACAAUCUUUCGCAGUGAACGGUCUGUGGCGUUAAGAUUGAGUUCCAACCUGGGUUAGAUAUCUGGUGGCUGAUGGCAUGUAUUAUUUUGGAAGACAGUGAUACCCUUGAAGCAAAAUGAACGGAAAGGGAGUUUUAGUUUGGUACCAUAGUGGAGAUACUCUCCCGGAUCAAACCAGAUGUGGAAAAGAUUUCAAAUAUUAUCCACCUGUCCAAUGGAGUGGAACUACGUGUUGUUAUGGAGAUCCACUUUAGAGUUCUCUGUUCUGAACAAAAAAAAACCCCAAAAAAGAGUAGGUUCUCUUUAUUGCCGAUAUCACAGUCCAAAUAACAACAGCUCUCCUACCCAGUAAAAUCCAUCUCAACGGGUUCUCUAAUCCAGAAUGUGGUUCACCGGAGAGAAGUGUUCGGUUUCUAGUAAACAUUUAGGCUUCACACCACUACCUUCAUCACAUGGCAAUAUCUGAGUGUCUUGGUGGAAUUUCAUAGUCUUUUUGAUUUGUUGCAGUUGGUGUUUGGGGAUGACUUUCAGUUGCUGUUGUUUUUAUUCAUGUGAUGACUCUUAAGGACGACAGUUCUUUUGUUGCUCUUGCUGCUGUUGAUUCCACUCUUGGUGUGUUGUAGUUGUUGUGACUGUAGAUGCUUCCCGUUUUGUAGCUGAUGCUACAAACACCGUUCUGAAGUUGCAUGCUGUUGUUUGUGGCGUAGUGGCUGCUGCUGUAAGAUAUUAGUGGUAAAAUUGCGGCAUUGGCAGUAACGGAGGACUUCUUUCAGCUGUUAUUGUUUGUUGUUGUUGAGGAGAGAAUGCUUUGAGAUAGUGUUUUUAUAAAUGUAGCACCGAGGUCCUCUAGUCCUCUACUCUCCCUACCACCGGCAAAUAAUCCUCUGCUUGUAUCUCUGUUCGGUCGGUGAAUCAAAAAUUUCCAACCACAUCCUAAACCAAUUUUUCUUUCAGAAUGUUUUUUUUAUUUCUAGCAGUGUAGAAAGGUUUUCAUGACGUAAAAGUUCCAUGUUCUCAUAUGAUUCAUGAAGAUGAACAGAGUGUGCAAUAGGAAUGGAGGGCUUCAAAUUACCAUUAUGGAGAGGUACAGCUUUUAAACUUCGUUUUGAAGAGUCAAUAAACAAAUCCUCUCUGCAGGAUCAUGAUUUUGUGAUAAACAUUCAAAAAGUUCAUCGAUGUUACUGCAAAAGCAAAGCGGGUCUUCAACAGAAAAACACGUUUGUAGAACCACAUUUCUCUGCCGAAAAUAGGUUAUACGAACAACGUGCUUUCUCCUUCAGUCUUGAUGCCAACAGUUCUGCUUUAUCUUUUGAGAGGGAUAGGUCUCUGAGAAGGUCAUUCAGUUCAGCUUGGGAAAAUUUCUGAGGUUCAAAGCUAUCGUCAUCAGCCACAUAAUCUUCCUCAGCAGGACUAUCGUCACAGUCAGCAUCAGCAUUUUAUGUUUCAAUACCAUCAUCUGGUGGAACUGGAAUUGGCAGGCUUCCAUUGUGAGGCACAGGUCUCAUUGCAGAAUCCAAAUUGGGAUACACAAUUUUGCGUUUGUUCUUCAUAAAAAAUCUUGUGACAUUUACUUUGCAAAAAUAACAGUCAUUAAAAUGGUCUUUCGGCUCCGUCCUUAUCAUUGGAAUGACAAAAUGGCAUUGGAAUGGCAAAAAGCCUAACCCUAACUUCUUAUUGAACCAGUCACGUAAGCCAUUUGAGCAAGCUGAGCAGAUAAAAUGUAGUGCCCGUAACUUGUCCUGAUCUUCAAGAGGACAUUCAAAGUAUAGCUUAUAAAUCUUCUUGAUCUCUAGCGUUAUUGUAUACUUUUGAGCUUUCACAAUAAAUCGACGUUGCCUGAAUAGGUGUAUGGUGUAUCAUUUGUCAGGUGUCGAGGUUAUCGCAGAGCAACGUGAGAUGAAGAACACAACGCACCACCCGGUCUAGGAAUUGAAACUCGAUCUUGCCAUUGUGAGUGCAACACCAUAACCACUUGUCCAUACAUCUUUGCAAUAAUAAUAAUCCUUUCUACUAUAAACACAAGGGUUGAAACUCAGUGGGAGGGAUAAAGUCGAUUACAUCGACCCCAGUGCUACACUGGGUCGGAGUAGACUUGGAAAAAAUAGUGACUUCGAGAUGGUUCCACAUUCCCGAAACAGGGCUUCAUUACUGAAUGCAGUUUUAAAGUCAUAGCUAGGGCACAUCUUUUUAUUAGACCAAUAAAAUGAUCAACAAAAUAAUAAAGUAAAUAUUUGAAGUUAGUGAUUGUAUUCCAGUGACUGAGUGUCGGAGGUCAUGCCUUUUAGUAUUUCAAUACGUCCCUUUCCUUCAGACUCCACAUUCACUUAAUGUUGAGUUUUGUAUUUUAUCAUUCUGUGUUCGAUAAAAUACGUAGUAGUGCACUACAGAGGUCCAUCGGAUCAGAUUUUCCCAACAUGUGUUGGACUGGGUCAAGGUCAAAUUAUCACUAUUUUACCAUCACACGUUAUGCCUCAACAUUCACACGUGUACACACGCGAACACCCUUCCCACAGCGCAUGCACAAAAACAGAUUUUCCCGCACUUGUGUUGAAUGUGUGAAGUGUGUGUGUGUAAUAUUUGUGUGUUUAGG
rnacentral:lncRNA from 1 species